UACGAAGGUCCCAAGCGUUAUCCGGAUUUAUUGGGUUUAAAGGGUGCGUAGGCGGUCUAUUAAGUCAGUGGUGAAAGCCCCAAGCUCAACUUGGGAACUGCCAUUGAUACUGAUGGACUUGAGUACAUUUGAGGUGGGCGGAAUGUGUCAUGUAGCGGUGAAAUGCUUAGAUAUGACGCAGAACACCGAUUGCGAAGGCAGCUCACUAAACUGUAACUGACGCUGAGGCACGAAAGCGUGGGGAGCAAACAGG
rnacentral:rRNA from 1 species